ACGCUCGACACCUACGGGGGGCAGCAGUGGGGAAUAUUGCACAAUGGGGGAAACCCUGAUGCAGCGACGCCGCGUGAGCGAAGAAGUAUUUCGGUAUGUAAAGCUCUAUCAGCAGGGAAGAAACUGACGGUACCUGACUAAGAAGCACCGGCUAAAUACGUGCUAGCAGCCGCGGUAAUCUGAGCGGGCUGGCAAGGC
rnacentral:rRNA from 1 species